UGGUACUCAACAAGCUAUAGGGUACACCAAAGGACAACUACAAAUAGUGCUAUGGCUAAUGACUCAACUGGACUCAAACUGAAAGGAUUCGGACUUUUGAUGCGCUCAGAGGCAAAAAAGAAGGUUUAAAUCUGUAAAACACGUAUUAGGUAAAGGUAAAGGUUUUCGCUUGACAUUAAGUCUAGUCGUGUCCGACUGGGGGUUGGUGCUCAUCUCCAUUUCUAAACUGAAAAGCCGGUGUUGUGCGUAGAUGCCUCUUAGGUCAUGUAGCUGGCAUGACUGCAUGGAGCACCGUUACCUUCCCACUGGAGCAAUACCUAUUGAUCUACUCACAUUUGCAUGUUUUCAAACUUUCUAGGUUGGCAGAAGUUGGGGCUAACAGCGGGAGCUCACCCCACUCCCCGUAUUCGAACCUUCAACCUUUUGGUCAGCAAGUUCUGCAACUCAGUGGUUUAAUCCACUGUGCCAUCGGGGGCUCCACAACAUAUAUUAGAGGAACACAAAAGGGCACAAGUCGUCUUGUUAAACAGUUUCUGGAGUCCUAAGUCUAAGCCACUGCUUCAUAACACGGUGUUGAUCCAUAUCAUUCCGAAAUAAAAAUCAAUGAAGAGAGAGAACUUGGAUCUCUUUGAGCCACCAUCUGACAACUUGGUUUUAGCAAGCUGGAAGAAAUGAAAAACUUGGUUCCUAUAAUAAGCAACAACACAUCAGGAACUUGCAGAUAUAAUCUGAGAGUCAUUGCCAAUUCUCUUUGAUGAUUUUUGGAGGAUGGGAAAGCCUGCAGGAAAUCAGGGGAAGGCAAAUGUUGUCCCAAUCUUCAAAAAGGGAAAAAAGAAGACUUCGGAAACUACCAGUCACUUGACACUGAUACCUGGCAAGAUUCUAGAAGAGAUCAUUAAUUAAAACAAUCUGCUUGAAUUUCUUAAAAACAAGUCACGUCAAACUAAUCUUAUCUUUUUUAAAAAAUAAUUAUCAUCUUAAAAGAUAGAGAGUGCUUUAGUUAUAUAGUAUGUUUUCAUUUCACCAAGAUUUUGACAAGGUUCCCAUUAUACUUGCAAGCAAGCUAGUGAACUGUAGACUUCACUAGACAGUGUUACAGUUAGGUGGAUCUGUAACUGGUUAACAGAAUGAACCUACAAGAGUGCUUGCUGACAGCUCCUCUUCAUUUGAGAGAGAAAUUACUAUUGGGUGCUUGAACAUUCUGUUUCAGGUCUGGUAUUGUUUACAUCUUUAUAAAUGACUUACAGGAUAGAAUAGAAAGCAUGCUUAUCAAAUUUGAAGGGGACACAACGGGGAGCUUUGAAAAGCUUCUAGGAAUCUUAACUAAACAUGACUCCAUAAUGUAAUGUUCCUGUUCUGACUUUUGCUUCUUCAUAUUUCUUUUUUGGAAUUCUGCAUUACAUUCCCCUUAUUUUGAAAUGUCCCCAGGGAUCUCCAAGCACUCACGAGGACAAUUUCUUCGCACUCUCCAGGCCAUUUUUUAAUUACUAUUUCUUGAAAUGAUAUGUACUUUUCCAUUAUUUUGAAGCCUGUUAAAAUAGAACAGAAACAUAGCAACUGUUCCCAGGGCAGCAGAUUCGACAGAGAUUGCAAGGGAAAGUGGAAUGUUAUCAAUAAAAUGAAAUCAGGCAAUCCCCUACUUUGUCCACCUUUCAUAAGGAACUGAAGACCUGGUGGUUUCGGCAGGUUUUUGAGUAAUUUACUCUGGUAUACUGCCGAUCUCUGGACCUGAAUAUACUGUAUAAGACUCAUCUAUCCCAAAAUGGUUUAAAUAAUAUACUUGGCUAUGGUCCCCAUCCCCUUGAUCAAGGUUGCUGUAAGUGUUAUUUAUUGCUUAUUUAAUUGUAUAGUUUUAUCUGUUCUAAUAAUAUGUUUAUUAUACUGUUAUGUAAUGCACUUGUUGUUCUUAUGAUUGGAAACCGCCUUGAGUCCCUUCUGGGAGAUAGGGCAGUAUAUAGAUAAAGUUUUUAUUAUUAUUUUAUUAUGACACAACAAACAAGAUAGAUAUGCUGGAUUUCUUAUCACAAAAUCACAAGUCGAACACUUCCCAAGUGUCUAGGACUGUGUGAUGUAUUUUCGGAUGAUGCGCGCAGAUCCCAAUAGGGUGGCCUUUUGCAGUUGGCAGAUCGUAAGUGUUAUUAUUAUUAUUAUUAUUAUUAUUAUUAUUAUUAUUAUUAUAUAAUUUCAAUGAUUACUUAGUGUAAUAUUGCUAAAGCAUUUAAGUACUUUGACUAUAACUCCUUAAUAAUAAAUGUAAACGUCUCGAUAGAAAUUAGUGAAAGUUAGUUUCUGAAACAUUACCUGAGUCUAGGUGCGACAGGAGAUCUGGGGCAAGGGAAGAAGAAUUAACACAAGGGGGUUAUUUCAAGAAAGAGUCUGAAUGAGAAACCAGUCAUACGUACAUACAAUCAAAACACUUUAUUCUAUGCCUAUGAUUACAACUUUGUAAUUGCCACCUUUACAGUAACUUACCACCACUGGUUGAUACAUGCUAUUUUAAUUGAGUUUUAAGUUGUUAUUUUGUCUAUGUGUUUAAUUCAACUGUAUUUUUCAAUUGUUUUUAUUUUAUGUUCUGUUGGCACUUUGUGCCAUGUGUAAGCUGCUCCGAGUCCCUUUGGGGAGAUGGUGGCAGGAUACAAGAAUAAAGUUAUUAUUAUUAUAAAACAGAAAGAACUGGGAAGUCUUUCU
rnacentral:lncRNA from 11 species